CCUACGGGAGGCAGCAGUAGGGAAUUUUCCACAAUGGGCGAAAGCCUGAUGGAGCAACGCCGCGUGGGUGAAGAAGGUCUUCGGAUCGUAAAACCCUGUUGUUAGAGAAGAAAGUGCGUGAGAGUAACUGUUCACGUUUCGACGGUAUCUAACCAGACAGCCACGGCUAACUACGUGCCAGCAGCCGCGGUAAUACGUAGGUGGCAAGCGUUAUCCGGUUUUAUUGGGCGUAAAGGGAACGCAGGCGGUCUUUUAAGGCUGAUGGGAAAGCCUUCGGCUUAACCGGAGUAGUGCAUUGGAAACUGGGAGACUUGAGUGCAGAAGAGGAGAGUGGAACUCCAUGUGUAGCGGUGAAAUGCGUAGAUAUAUGGAAGAACACCAGUGGCGAAAGCGGUUCUCUGGUCUGUAACUGACGCUGAGGUUCGAAAGCGUGGGUAGCAAACAGGAUUAGAUACCCCAGUAGUC
rnacentral:rRNA from 1 species